GCCCAGCUGGCUCAGUUGGUAGAACAUGUGACUCUUGAUCUCAGGAUUGUGGUUUCGAGCCCUAUGUUGGGUG
rnacentral:tRNA from 1 species